UGUACAAGAAAACAAAACAUGAAGAUCAAAAAAAUCUCCAGUAGUGCGAUAGCAGUGUGACGUGAAAAAUAUCGUGUCUUGUCGUGACAGUCACUCAUAAUGUGAAUGUGCCUAAAUGUGUAAAUGUUAAUGGUAUUGAUUAAUUAAAAAAGGAAUCACGAUUACUUGUGUGUACUGUGCCACCCUAUCAGCGCCAUUCGCACCAAUUUCCAUGUCGCUAGUGGUUUUAGGGCUAAAAUGCCGGGACAAAAACGAAAAUGACUUUCCGGUGCUGCCUUCCGGCAACAAAGAGAGAAAUGGCAAAAAGAGUUAGAAGGACUAUCGCUACUUCAAAUAAGUAUAUUAAAAAAGUUGAUGAUCAAGGAGAAAGCUCUUUUGAAUUUUUAUACCAUAUUGGAAAUAUUAAAAAUCAGUUUUCCAAAGAAGAUCUCAUGAAGCACUGCCAAGACCUACAUUUAGUGCUCAGUACUGAUAACACUGCUGACGUUGAUGGAGUAGAAUUGUAUGAUGAAUUAAUAGCUUUAUCUGAGCUAAUAAGUCCUAAAACUUCUCCUCUAAAAGUAUUAGAAUUUAUAGCAGGAAAUGAUUUUUUCACUCCAAAAACUGCUAUCGCAUUACUCAUUCUUUUAAUAUUACUGGUAUCAGUGGCUUCUGGUGAGCGCAGUUUCUCAAAACUGAAAUUACUAAAAAAUUAUUUGAGGUCCACCAUGUCUCAAAAUCUUUUGUCAGGACUCGCAUUAAUUUCAGUUGAAAGUACCAUUGCAAAAUAUUUAGAUUUCACUGAAUUAUUAAAAGACUACACAAGUAUAAAAACCAGAAAAAUUCAGUUCAUAUAAAUUCUUUUAAUUUAUGAGAAACUGGGUGCACCGAAAGACAAACAUUUUUCAUUACAAUGUCUAGUUGAACCAAAAUUGUUUGUAAUUAUGAUUUUGUUAAAAUUAAAUGAGUACACUAG